rnacentral:rRNA from 1 species
UCCUACGGGAGGCAGCAGUGAGGAAUAUUGGACAAUGGGCGGGAGCCUGAUCCAGCCAUGCCGCGUGCAGGAAGACGGUCCUAUGGAUUGUAAACUGCUUUUGUACGGGAAGAACAAGGGGCACGUGUGCCCUUCUGACGGUACCGUAAGAAUAAGGAUCGGCUAACUCCGUGCCAGCAGCCGCGGU